rnacentral:tRNA from 1 species
GCGCUCGUAGCUCAGCAGGAUAGAGCGGCGGUUUCCUAAACCGCAGGUCGGAGGUUCGAGUCCCCCCGGGCGCG